rnacentral:rRNA from 1 species
CCUACGGGGGGCAGCAGUGAGGAAUAUUGGUCAAUGGACGAGAGCCUGAACCAGCCAAGUAGCGUGAAGGAUGACUGCCCUAUGGGUUGUAAACUUCUUUUAUAUGGGAAUAAAACGUUCCACGUGUGGGAUUUUGUAUGUACCAUAUGAAUAAGGAUCGGCUAACUCCGUGCCAGCAGCCGCGGUAAUACGGAGGAUCCGAGCGUUAUCCGGAUUUAUUGGGUUUAAAGGGAGCGUAGGUGGGUUGUUAAGUCAGUUGUGAAAGUUUGCGGCUCAACCGUAAAAUUGCAGUUGAUACUGGCAGUCUUGAGUACAGUAGAGGUGGGCGGAAUUCGUGGUGUAGCGGUGAAAUGCUUAGAUAUCACGAAGAACUCCGAUUGCGAAGGCAGCUCACUGGACUGCAACUGACACUGAGGCUCGAAAGUGUGGGUAUCAAACAGGAUUAGAUACCCGAGUAGUC